AGAGAAGGAGGUGAACGUGCAGAAGAAGAAGGAUGAAAAAUCAGGGGAAGCUCCAAUUGAAACCAAAGAGAAAGCAGUGCAGACAGACAGCACACAAGAAGUAAAAUGGAAACUUUUGGAGUUUUGGAUCAAUAAAGAUCUAGAAGUACAGAGACGGCGAGAGGAAGAACUAAGGGAGGAGGAAGAGUUCUUUAGCUGAAAGAACAACUGAAGCUAAAUUGUUUACAUCAGAGCCCCUCUCUCAUAUCUACCAGAGCUACGUGUACCAGCCAGGGCUCUGCCUCUUCUGCCACUCCUGUGUGCCAAUAUGUCCCGCCCCUGAGAAACCAUCUUGUAUUGUCAUCCUUCUUAUCUCUACCUCUUAUUGGGAAUUCUCCAUGGUUACUAAUUAAUAAAAAUUAGACCAAGUAAA